AUUGAUACUAAGCCACGCGAGUCUUUGCAGUAAUGCAAGGCGGACUGCUCAGUAACACGUAGUCAACUUAACCUAUGGAUGGGUAUAACCUCGGGAAACUGAGAAUAAUUCCCAAUAGAUCAUUUAUCCUGGAAUGGUUAGUGAUUGAAAUGAUUCGUCGCCAUAGGAUAGGACUGCGGCCUAUCAGCUUGUUGGUGAGGUAAAGGCCCACCAAGGCUAUUACAGGUACGGGCUCUGAGAGAAGAAGCCCGGAGAUGGGUACUGAGACACGGACCCAGGCCCUAUGGGCGCAGCAGGCGAGAAAACUUUGCAAUGUGCGAAAGCACGACAAGGUUAAUCCGAGUGAUUUCUGCUAAAGAAAUCUUUUGCCAGUUCUAAAAAUACUGGUGAAUAAGGGGUGGGCAAGUUCUGGUGCCAGCAGCCGCCGGUAAU
rnacentral:rRNA from 1 species